AAGAAUGGUGUCACAUCCCUCCAACAGAGUUCCAGACAGUUGUAGAAUGUAUUCCAAGGCACAUUGUAAGAGCUGUUAAGAGAGAGGGAGUGGGAGAGAGAACAGGCAGAACCUGAUAUGUAAAUGAGCAGAGCAAAUGAAAGUAACUUUCUUCGACCGAAUGAUCAUUCAGACUCUGUUUCUAUUGAGAGAUAAAAGGCUGGUUGAAUGUGUUGCCUGUGAAAGCUACUUCAUCUGCAAGAAAACAGGCGGCUGCACCAGUGACUGGGUCAGUGCUCCAAAAUGAGUCUCUCUGGGGAGAGAGAGGAGGGGGGCCCUGCCUCUAAAAUGAGUCUCUCUGGGGAACAUGACACCAAAGCUAAGAGGUGAGAUGACAAUUUUGUGUAAGAAUUAUUAAAGAGUUUAUUUCAAAAAUGCUAUUUCCAAAAAUAUUCACAUUUGUUUUUUAAUUAGAAAUGGUUUCUUAUGGGUACCUUCAAUAUUACUGUUCUCAGAUUUUUAAUUAAUAGUUUUUAGAUGUGUAUCAUUUUUUUUUUUUAUAGCAAAACGCUAUAUAUCCACCUAGAUAUCUAUAUAUCCACCUAGAUAUCUAUAUAUCCACCUAGAUAUCUAUAUAUCCACCUAGAUAUCUUUAUAUCCAUUGUUUAGCUGGAAUGGAAUAUUUGUAUUCUGCAUAUUUAACAAUGAUAUGUGGUUGUCUCACCUAGCUAUCUAAAGAUGAAUGCACUUACUGUAAAUCCCUCUGGAUAAGAGCAUCUGCUAAAUCAGGGGUUCUCAAUCGGGGUCUGUGGAGGUACUGCAGGGGCUCCACGGCACCCUGACUGUACUCGUUGCCAUGUAAGACAUUUGAUAGAAUUUUCACAUGACACGACCACUUUGCCUACUCUUAAUUAUUGCCUAAUAUAAUGGAAUACAUAUUUUUUUUACAAUUUCUGAUCGUUGUUACAAGCAGAAUUUUUACAAUAUUACCGUUAUAUCAAAUUAAAUCAAAGUUCAUUUGUCACGUGCGCCGAAUACAACAGGUGUAGACCUUACAGUGAAAUGCUUACUUACAGGCUCUAACCAAUAGUGCAAAAGAAAGGUGUGUGUGUGUGUGUGUGUGUGUGUAGGUAAGUAAAGAAGUAAAACAACAGUAAAAAGACAUUUGAAAAUAAGAGUAGCAAGGUUAUAUACAGACACCGGUGUCGUGUCUUUGGCAUCAUUAAAACAGAAGUCUUAUCUAUCAAAUAACUCUCUGUAAUUAUUAUUACACGAUUAAACUAAUUGAUUGUGUAACUGUAAUUAACUAGGAAGUAGGGGCACCAAGGAAAAUAUUCAGGUUACAAAGUUAGAAUUUUCCUAAUAUAACUUUCAGAUAUCAUAAUAUCUGAUCUGAGUCUUCUGAUUUAUGAUGUAUUCUUUACCUCGUCAGUCUCAUUCCAAACGUCGUAAAUUGUUGGUUAUCUGCAUGAACCCAGUCUUUACUAUGAGUCAUCCAUACGUCAAUUGUCUUAAAAUCAUUUAUUUACUAAACUAAGUAAUUCACAGAAAGGCAUACAAAACAGUAGGUAUCGUUACAAAGAAAUGGUAGAGGAAUGUGCCCUAGUGGGCUAAACCGGCAUGGCGGCUUGUUAAACAAAAGGGGUGGUUCAGAAUUGAAUAUUAUACAGUUGAACUGCUAAUCCUUUGCACAUGAAUGCUCACUCAUUAUAUAUAUAUAUUUGAGCUCAGUGUGUCGUCGGGAUCUUUGUUGGAAAGGUUGUUCUGUUGGGGAGUUCUCUCUCUCUCUCUCUCUCUCUCUCUCUCUCUCUCUCUCUCUCUCUCGGUUAGAAUGGAUCUUUCAAAGCGACAUUCGUUCAUGUCGUUAUAGGACAGGUGUUUCCGGCGGUUGUCACGUUCAAUGAUACCGAAUUCCUAGCUGCAGACUAGUAAUUAAUAUCAAAGACUUGUUCUUAUUCUGUAUCAAUAGUCUAAUAGUUUAACCACGUGGUAUGGUUAAAGUUCAGUAGCUGGAUGCAUGGUCAAACUUAUUAGCCAACUCGUAAUGGAGUGGAGGCCUGGCCUGGGGAAAGAAACCCUGGGUGGGGUUUAUAUUCGGAAUACAGAAAAAGGCUGUCUCAUGACGCCAGGUCCUGUCUGUGUCCCUGGGGGUGUGCCGAUGACUUGGUAAAACUUUAAACAGAAAAUACAAUUCUCUCACAUUAACAUCUUACAAGCAUCCCAACAUAUUCCAAAUAGCU